AGUCUGAGCGGGGUAGGAAGACCCAAAGCCACGUGAGUCAGGAUCUGGCUGGGCUGCACCUGACCGCCACCCUGCCUUCUGCAGCCCUGUGGGAGGAAGACCGAGGAAAUCUGUCUGCUUCUCAGCUUGAAUGCCGCUAGUUUGAGCUUGGGAGCAAGAAGAUUGUUGACUAAAUGUGACGGUUGCGAGGACAUCAGCUGCUCUGUCCCUGCUCUGUGAUAAGCAGAACGCGCCCUGUUAGCCUCGAGUCGCUGGUGAAGCGGUGAGGAAACUGUGACUCAGCCUGGCCUGCAUCUUCCCCCUGGCCCGCUGGCUACACUGAGGGCCAGCACCAGGCAUCUGCUCCCUGUACGGGCUUGACUGCUGAUGACAAACAAUGACAUCUGACUUCCUUAUUCUUUGAUGAACAAGGUUACCAUGGAAGGCCCUAGAAUGAUAACAAAUGUCCAGGAGAGACGGAGAAGAGAAGACGGUCGUGUGCAGACCAAGGCAGAGACUGGAAAUAUGCAACCAUAAGUCAAGGACUACCUGGAGUGACAAGAAAGGGGGAGGCAAAGAAGGACCCUCACCCAGAGCCUCAGAGGGGUAUGGCCCUGCUGACCUUGACUUUGGAUCUGUGGCCUCCAGAUUGUGAGAGAGUAAAUUUCCAUUGUUCUAAGCCGUUGAGUUUGCAGUGAUCUGUUACAGCAGCUGCAUGAAACUCAUACAUCCUCCUUGGGAGAGGUAACGGCCGGGAAAUGGGCAUGAGGGAUGGGAGUCAAGACUCAAAGCUUUCUCAGAGAGCAAGGGAUCCCUCCCGUCCCCGUGGAUUUGCCUGUUCUGGAAAUGCCAUAUAAAUGGAAUCAUACACUUAAAAAACAAAGAAAGAAAGGGCUCUUUGCCUGAGUGAGAAAGUUUUCAGUAAAUUAAAAAUCAGGUAAGGAAUAAAAAGUUGAAUUAGGCAGUGA